UAUUAGGCCAGGCAGGAUAAAUACUAGGCCAGGAAGGGUAAAUACUAGGCCAGGAAGGGUAAAUACUAGGCCAGGUGUGGGAGAUAUUAGGCCAGGCAGGGUAAAUACUAGGCCAGGCAGGGUAAAUACUAGGCCAGGUAGGGUAAAUACUAGGCCAGGCAGGGUAAAUACUAGGCCAGGUAGGGGAGAUACUAGGCCAGGCAGGGUAAAUACUAGGCC